rnacentral:rRNA from 1 species
UACGUAGGUGGCGAGCGUUGUCCGGAUUUACUGGGCGUAAAGGGAGCGUAGGCGGGCUUUUAAGUGAGAUGUGAAAUACUCGGGCUCAACUUGAGUGCUGCAUUUCAAACUGGAAGUCUAGAGUGCAGGAGAGGAGAAUGGAAUUCCUAGUGUAGCGGUGAAGUGCGUAGAGAUUAGGAAGAACACCAGUGGCGAAGGCGAUUCUCUGGACUGUAACUGACGCUGAGGCUCGAAAGCGUGGGGAGCAAACAGG